ACGUGAGCCAGAAAAAGCAGGCCAACAUGGCGCAGUCCUAGCCAGCUUCAUCGUCGCCCAAGCCCGGCCGGGAGGUUAAGGCAGAGGGAGAGGAAGAAAAAAAAAGAAGAAGAAGAAGAAAGGAAGAGAAAAAGGGAGGAGGAGGAGGAAAAGGUGGGGGUCGUUGCAUUGCACGAAGCAGGCGCAGGCAGGAAUCCGGCCCGGGAUUCCUGGCAGGUGGGGCCCCCAGAAUCAUCAUGGUGAAGAUCUUUGUUGGGGGGCUUUCUCCUGUGGUCACAGCCGAAGAGCUGCGAAAGCUGUUUGAGCAGUACGGCCAAGUGAACGAGUGCGACAUUUUGAAGAAUUUUGCCUUCGUCCACAUGGAGAAGGAGGACGAGGCCCACCAGGCCAUCAGCACGUUGCACAAGAGCGAAUUCUACGGGACGCACUUGACUGUGGAGUACGCCACCUCCAAGAUCCGCAACGCCACCAAGAUCUACGUGGGGAACGUCUCGGCCAAAGCCACCACCGCCCAAAUCCGCCAACUCUUCGAGCGCUUCGGCAAAGUGGUGGAGUGCGACAUUGUCAAGAACUUCGCCUUUGUCCACAUGGCCAAAGAGCGGGAAGCCAUGGAUGCCAUCUUGCAUCUCAACGACACUCCGCUGGAGGAUCAGAAAAUUUUUGUCACCCUUUCCAAGAGCAACAGUUCCCUCCGGGCCACGAAAGGGGCCUCUGUGCCCACCCCGCCCACCCCGACGCCCAGCUACUACUUCUCCAGGGGACGCGUGCCCGCUGCACCGGCCACCUAUUCGCCCUACUGUGCCCGUGCCUGGUAUGAUCGGGAGUAUUGUGAUCAGUACGCAUACGAGCUCUACGACCGCGCACGAGCAGCGUAUGACCGAGCCCUCCCCUCUGCUCCAGCAACUGCUUACAGAGAAAGGAGCCCCGUGGGGCGGAGGACAUCUACCCCCACUGCUGUAGUGGCCCAAUAUGCUGACCCCUAUACUGCAGCGGCCGCUGCUGCGGCUGCGGCCGCCGCAACUGCUGCAGCAAACCAGACGUACAGCCAAGCCUACAGCCAACCCGGGUACGCAGCUGCUGCGGCAGCUGCAACGUACUCUCAGUACAGUCUCGGAACCGCCUACAAUGUGGCAGAGUACUAUGAGAGGUACGCAAGCGCUUACGCUGCCCAGUACGCCCAGACAUUCUGAGGGCGCUGCACCCUUCCAACUGCUCUUCCUGGGCAGACUCGGAGCGAUGUCUCCCGGCCGAUCAGCCGAGCACUGACUUCCAAGAUUCUCCUCCUCCUUUCCCCAAAUCCUGCCUCCAUCCCCACCCAGCAAGUUAAAAGGAUCCGAACUGAUAACUGAGGGAUGCCUACCUCGCAGGGGGGAUUUGAAUCCAGCGCUCCUGGGGCAGAGACUCUCCGGCGAUCUGCACAUCCCUCCCCAAAAGAGGAACGGAAUGCGAGACAGAAAACCUGGCCUCUGCUAAGAAGACUUGGCCAUGAAAAACAGGAUGUAAACAAAGCAGUGAUUUUUCUUUGGGUAAAUAUGUACAAACCCAUGGUCCAUCACGACACAGACAUUUCAACUGGCUAGUAUGAUUGCAACAAGGACUACAAUAUCUUCAAAAAUCUCCCGAAGUCUUCCUGCAAAGAUGAAAAUUGAUGAAAUUACUAAUCGUAAUUUGUUAAAAAUUCACUGAAAAGUUUUGGCGGGCUUAAAUAGCCAUCUUCUCCAACUGAGUGCCAUCAAAUAUGCUGAGCCUGGAACUUUCAAGGAGUUGUGUGAAUCCAAUACUUGGAGUGCAAAAGGUACAAGUAAAUACAAAGUUUAUGAUAACGUUGUUUAGCAAUUGGAGUUCCAGUCCCAAUUUAUGGUUAUGAGUCCAAGAAAAUCCAUAGAUGAAAAGCGUGUGAAAGGCACCCAAGGAACCUUAUUAAGAGCACUUGAGCUACUUGAUCUUUUAGCCUAAAAUUUGGUGACAGACCCACCUGGGUCACACCACCAUAAAUGAACUGGACAAGCUGGAUUUGCACAAUCUGUUAAACUGUAAAGGAAAAACAACUAAACAUAAAAUUAACCGAAUUUAGUGUCUUAUGCAGAUGAAGCAGAGAUUCAACGCUUCUAUGAGCCUAUAUAGGCAGUCCUUGACUUACAACGGUCCAUUUAAUGACUGUUUGAAAUUACAACAGCAGUGAAAAAAGUGACUUACGACAGUUUUCACAUUUAUGACCGUUGCCGCAUCCCCACGGUCACGUGAUCAAAAUUCGGAGACUUGGCAACUGACAUGUACUUAUGACGGUCGCAGUGACCCGGGAUCACGUGUUCCCCUUUUACAAUCUUCUGACAAGUAAAGUCAAUGGAGCAAGAUUCGCUGAACAGCCAUGUUACUACCUUAACAACUAUAAUGAUCCAUUUAAGAAGUCAUAAAAUGAAUAAUAGACCAACCCAUAGACUGGAAACCAGAGAUCUUUUUGUUGGGUAUUUUAAACAGAAAAUAUAGUAAAGAAAUAUGGUACUUAAUUUUACAUAUAAUAACGGCGACAAGAAUAGCAUAUGCUCAGUGCUGAAAAAAUGAGAAUACACCAUCAGAGGAAGAAGUAAUAAGAAAAAUCCUGGACUGUGCUGAGAUGGACAAAUUAACAAAAGAGGUAAAAGAAAAG